CACGGGGGGAGCAAGCGUUGUUCGGAAUCACUGGGCGUAAAGGGCGCGUAGGCGGGAUGGCAAGUCGGUCGUGAAAUCCCUCGGCUCAACCGAGGAACGUCGAUCGAUACUGCUGUUCUUGAGGAUUGCAGAGGAGACUGGAAUUCCCGGUGUAGCGGUGAAAUGUGUAGAGAUCGGGAGGAACACCGGUGGCGAAGGCGGGUCUCUGGGCAAUUCCUGACGCUGAGGCGCGAAAGCGUGGGGAGCAAACGGG
rnacentral:rRNA from 1 species